rnacentral:rRNA from 1 species
GAAUAUUGGACAAUGGGGGCAACCCUGAUCCAGCCAUGCCGCGUGUGUGAAGAAGGCCUUCGGGUUGUAAAGCACUUUAAGCAGGGAGGAAAGGGUGAAGGCUAAUAUCCUUCAUCAUUGACGUUACCUGCAGAAUAAGCACCGGCUAACUUCGUGCCAGCAGCCGCGGUAAUACGAAGGGUGCAAGCGUUAAUCGGAAUUACUGGGCGUAAAGCGCGCGUAGGCGGUUUGAUAAGUUGGAUGUGAAAGCCCCGGGCUCAACCUGGGAAUUGCAUCCAAGACUGUCAGGCUAGAGUACGGGAGAGGGGGGUAGAAUUCCACGUGUAGCGGUGAAAUGCGUAGAGAUGUGGAGGAAUACCGGUGGCGAAGGCGGCCCCCUGGAUCGAUACUGACGCUGAGGUGCGAAAGCGUGGGGAGCAAACAGG